GACGAACGCUGGCGGCGUGCUUAACACAUGCAAGUCGAACGGUGAAGCACCUUCCUUUUGGUUGGUGUGGAUGAGUGGCGAACGGGUGAGUAACACGGGAGUAACCUGCCCCCUUCUUCUGGAUAACCGCAUGAAAGUGUGGCUAAUACGGGAUAUUCUGUGCCUGCUGCAUGGUGGGUGUGGGAAAGAUGCGCUUUUGGGUGUUUGUGGUGGGGGAUGGGCUCGCGGUCUAUUAGCUUGUUGGUGGGGUGAUGGCCUACCAAGGCGGUGACGGGUAGCCGGCCUGACAUGGUCGACCGUCACACUGAGACUGACACACGGCCCAGACUCCUACAGGCGGCAGCAUUUGGGAAUAUUGCACAAUGGGCGCAAGCCUGCUCCAGCGACGCCUCGUGAAGGAUGCAGGCCUUCUGGUGCUAAACCUCUUUCGCCAGUGAAGCAUUCCUGUCCCUUGUGAGUUAUUUAACGUUAGCUAGAUAAGAAGCGCCGCCUAACUACGU
rnacentral:rRNA from 1 species